AUCGUGUUCUUGAUCCCAGACCUUAUCGGGUGCGUGAUUCUCAAGUGCUUUUCUUUGCGAGCUAAAACAGAGUGUUUCCUCUCAUGCUCUGUUCCGGUUUUGCUUCACGUUCAUGCUUGUUGGGGUUUGGUGUUGAAGUCUGGUUUGGGAAUCAGAGAAGCUUCCCAAGCAACUUCGCUUUCAUUUUGGGUUAAUGUUGUCUUGUUGAGUAUUUACGUUAAAUUAUCGCCUUCUUGCGCCAAAACAUGGACCGGGUUCUCCCCAGAGGCUCUUGAGAACGUUAUGGUGUUUCUUUGGUCUUCCAUCUGCAUUCAUGGUUUGGUUAGACUGGUGGUACACAUAUAUGAUUCAUGUCUUCUUGUAUAUAUCAUAUCUUUAAUGUUGAUCAUAUCUUGAUGGAAUCAUAACGAUUUGGUCAUACAAGAAAAUGGUCUUCCUCUCAGUCUCAG